CUUAGGCGCAGGCUUAGCUUUUAGGCUUAGGCUUAGGCUUAGGGUUCGGCUUAGGCCUUCGACUUAGGCCUUCGCUUAGGCUUAGGCUGAGCCUGAAGCUUAGGCCUAGGCUUCGACAUAGGCUUAAACUUUGUUUUAGGCUCAAGCUUGGCUUAGGCUUAGGCCCAGGCUUAGGCUCAAGCUUAGGCUU
ensembl:ncRNA Y54G9A.12 ncRNA